UGAUGACGAGACGCUAAGGCGUUGAAGCAGUGUAUGUCAGACUUCCAAGAAAAGCUCGCAAUGUCAUAAAUAAAAGAUGCCUGUACCAUAACCGACACAGGUGGGUAGGUAGAGUAUACUAAGGGGCGCGAGAUAACUCUCUCUAAGGAACUCGGCAAAAUGACUCCGUAACUUCGGGAGAAGGAGUGCCUUAUUUAUAAGGUUGCAAUAACAAGAUCCAAGCAACUGUUUAUCAAAAACACAGGUCUCCGCUAAGUCGUAAGACGAUGUAUGGGGGCUGACGCCUGCCCAGUGCCAGAAGGUUAAAGAAGUUGGUUAGUGUAUGCGAAGCUGAUGACUGAAGCCCUGGUGAACGGCGGCCGUAACAAUAACGGUCCUAAGGUAGCGAAAUUCCUUGUCGGGUAAGUUCCGACCCGCACGAAAGGCGUAAUGAUUUGGAUACUGUCUCGGAGAGAGGCUCGGUGAAAUAGACUUGUCUGUGAAGAUGCGGACUACCUGCACCAGGACAGAAAGACCCUAUGAAGCUUUACUGUAACUUGAAAUUGGAAUUGGACUUUGCUUGCGCAGUAUAGGUGGGAAGCGUUGAAGAUAUUCUUGCGGGAGUAUUGGAGCUAUCAGUGAGAUACCACUCUUGUAAUGUUAGAUUUCUAACUUUGAACCAUAAUCUGGUCAAAGAACAGUUUCAGGUGGGCAGUUUGACUGGGGCGGUCGCCUCCCAAAUGGUAACGGAGGCGUACAAAGGUUUCCUCUGAACGGAUAGAAAUCGUAUCUAGAGUGUAAAGGCAUAAGGAAGCUUGACUGUGAGACCUACAAGUCGAGCAGGGACGAAAGUCGGUCUUAGUGAUCUGACGGUACUGAGUGGAAAGGCCGUCACUCAACGGAUAAAAGUUACUCUAGGAUAACAGGCUGAUCUCCCCCAAGAGUUCACAUCGACGGGGAGGUUUGGCACCUCGAUGUCGGCUCAUCGCAUCCUGGGGCGGUAGUACGUCCCAAGGGUUGGGCUGUUCGCCCAUGAAAGCGGUACGCGAGCUGGGUUCAGAACGUCGUGAGACAGUUCGGUCCAUAUCCGGUGUAGGCGCUAGAAUAUUGAGAGGAGCCUUCUUUAGUACGAGAGGACCGAGAAGGACACACCGCUGGUGUACCAGUUAUCGUGCCAACGGUAAUCGCUGGGUAGCUAUGUGUGGAGUGGAUAACCGCUGAAAGCAUCUAAGUGGGAAGCCCACCUCAAGAUGAGUAUUCCC
rnacentral:rRNA from 1 species